GGGCCAUGGAGGACUCGAACCUCCCACCCAGUGACUCUUAAUCACUGGGUGGGAGGUUCGAGUCCUCCAUGGCCCA
rnacentral:tRNA from 1 species